UUAAGGCCAACUCCAGAGGGGAGACCUGACUGCAAUCAUGUUGUCAUUUGUAGGUUAAAGAGAAAUUAAGCAGAACAGGUACUUGGGAAGCUUUCUCCUCUAGAGCCUUGCACCCCACCUGACCAUAGACUUCAAAUGACUCUACAGGAAGCUACUAAACAACAUUCUUCUUUACUCCAAAGAACAUGAAUUCACCUUUCAUUCUACAAUGUUGCACUGGAGCAAGAAGGAUGCACAGAAGACUCCAAUAA
rnacentral:lncRNA from 1 species